rnacentral:lncRNA from 10 species
GUAAACAGAUCUGGCUGAAAGUUAAUCAUACAGAACCAGCGAGUGUGUAUUUAUUUAUUUUACUUGGUGCAGGUAGUACUUUGAUUAAAAGGGGUGAUAUAGUUUGGAUAUGUGUCCCCACCCAAAUAUCUAUUGAAAUGUAAUCCCCAGUGUUGGAGGUGGGGCCUGCUGGCAGCUGAUUGGAUCAUGGGAGUGGAUUUCUCACGGAUGUUUCAGCCCCAUCCCCUUGGUGCUGUUCUUGUGAUGAUGUUGAAAUGAUGUUGCCUGAAGAAAAGAUGUGUUUGAGGAGAAGUGCAGAAGUCAACCCUCUGAUUAAGAGGCUUCGUACAUCUAAGCAAUUAACCUCUCAAAGAGCUGGAGAACACAUAAUUAUCCUCAUUUGUCUAAACGUCGCCAAGAUGGCCGCCUUUCAAUUAACCUUCUGGGGAUGGAAGAAAGUUGGAGUGAUAUAGUGAUCAUUUUUAACCUUACUGUAUGCUUUUUUAAAAUGUAAUUUAAUUGAAAUAGCCAGAUGAUAAAAUAGUCAGAUACUGUUUCCACAGGUAAAAGGAUCAAGGGGGUUUUGAGGAAGAAAGGGCUUUGGAAAGUUGACAGAGCUAAUAAAAUAGAUGAUGCACUGUAUGAGAGAGAAGUUAGGCAGAGCAAUAUACGGAACUGUAUCAGUGAGCUUCAGAGCCAAGGCCCAAUAGAAUGCCAGGAUGAGACGGCAACAAACACAUAUGCUCCAGCCUUUCAUCAGCUCCAGCAGACCACAGGAGAUCCAGGAGUAAAUGAUAUUAUUGCUCUAAGCAGAAACAUUAAAGAAAAAGAAAGCAGCUAAUGGUUAUGGAAUACCUAGUAUGUGCCAGCACUCUGCUAGGCACUUUUGGUCCAGGAUCCUAUGGAACAUAUUUCAGUUAUAUGAGAAUAUAGCAAAUGACAUCUGCCCACUGACAAUGAGAACAAAAAUAGGGCAUACAGAUGAGGACUUCUAGUAUAGACACAUUAUUACAUUAUCCAGGCACAUGGCUGAGAAAUGGUUCAAAGGGGCAUUGUUUUAACCAACAUGUAGAAUUAGUUCACAAAAUAAGAUAAACUACCCUAUUACAGCCAUCACUAGCAGGCCUUAUGGGUAUUUCACUUACAUAUUCUCUGAGUGUCUGUGCAUCUUUCAACUUGGAUAUGUACAAACAUAUUGCCCAGUAACUGAUGAAGACUCAGAUUGUGUUCAGUUCUGGGUAGCACUCUUUAAGAGUAAUAUCAAUGAACAAGCAUAUUUACAGUAAACAUAUUAUAGAAGAAAUCAUGAAAAAAUUAUAACCAUUGAGCCUGAAAACAGUUCAUUUGGGUCAUAUAUGACAGUUCUCUCAAAUGGAAAAAGAGUGUGUCACAUAAAAGCAAAAGAAGAAUUACUUAGAGGAAAUGAGUAAAAUCAAUAGGUAGAAUUUUCAGAAUGAUAAAAACUACAAAUUUAUAUUUCACCAAAAUUCAACUGUUGAGUUGUGUCAUGUUGGAAUUUGCCUCAUGUUUUGAAGUAAUAUUAUUUAUAGUGUGCUUCUGCCGUGGUGAUUAUUUAAAGUGAGUGCUGAAUGAGUAUUUGUGUAAGAAGUACUAGAAAAUGAUUCCUAUGCUGAAUGGAUAGACUGUAAAACUCUAGGUCUUUCUAUUGUACAGUUAUGUAACUAUAACUCUAUAACCUACAAUCCUCACAAUCACAGGGCUAAUGAGUUUGCCUAGAGGAAUUAACAUUUUCUUUUUUUCCCAACAUACAUACACUUUCUUUCUUCUCUUUGUAAUCCCCCAAAUGUAAGGGAGUACCCUAUUUGCACAGAAGUGUCAAGAAUAAUGGAAAGAAACUCUCAAAUGUCAAUAACACUUCCAUAUGUGGAGAUCUUUCUAGUUAGGAUGCAAUUUGGGAUGGAAGAACAAUCCUUAUUAUUACUUUAUACUCAGCUAUAAUCAAAGGGCUUCUAUAUUAACAAAAGAACUGAAAAUCAGACCAAGUAGGUAACACAGGUCAAACGCCGCUGGAUCCUUCUUACCCUAUUGGUGUCAUUAGAGUAUAAGUGAUUUACUCAGACUCUGAUAGAAAGAACCAGAGAGAUUAAUAUGAUCUUUGCUCCUUGAGAAACACUGAAAGUUCAUUAAUUGGAGAAGGGAGUGAAGCUAAGAAAUUUUCUCAGUGAAUCAGAAUAAAGCAGUUGCAGAUAGCUCUAAAAAUCAGACACAAACAAUAAAAUCUUUUCUUUACACAUACAUUAUGGCUACCAGUGUCACCAGAUAUUAAACGAUAAUGAAAAAGGCUUAGCACUUUAACAAAAUGAUUUCUUGUUAAAGAAUGCUCAUUUCAUACUGAGCAUAUUUAAAUGGAAUGGCCAUCCCUCAGUCCCUUGUCUCAAGUUUUUUAUUUUUAGUCUCAUGGGUCACGGAGUUUCACUUUCUUUAAAAGAAGAAAGGCAGGUAUUUAAUAAACUUAAAGGGAAUUUCACCAGUUGUCAUUUCUCUUCUCUGGAAUUUUCUGACAAGCUGUGCUCUAACCUCCUGUGGUGAUAUUCAUCAAUAAUGCAUAGCAGAUAACCCGGUGCCUCCACCUACAUUUGUGGAACACCUUUCACUUGCCUAAUGGAAACAUGUCAGCAUACUGCGUGGUUUGUGAUAAAAGUGCAGUCUUUCAAGCAGGCAUUUUUUUCUUGUUCUUAAAAAAAUGCCCAACUUUUUAUUUUGAAAUAUUUUAGAUUUAUAGAAGAGUUGCAACGAUAAUACAGGGUGCUCCUGGAUAGCUUUCACUUAACAUCUUUAAAAACCAUGGUACAAUAAUCAAAACUAAGAUAUGAACACUGGUGCAAUAUUAUUAGCUAAACUGCAAACUUCAUUAUUUAGAUUUCCUUAGUUUUUCCACUGAUUUCCAGGACUCCAUCCACCAUCUCACAGUGCAUUUAGUUGUCCUUUUUCCUAAAUCUCCUCCAAUCUGUAGUAGUGUCUUGGACUUUCCUAGUCCUUCAUGACUUUGACUUUGAAGAGGAGUGACCAGGUAUUCUGUAGCAUGCCCCCCUGGUUUCGGAUCACUUGGUUAAGGUGUUGUCCACCAGAAUCCUCCACCGUAAAGUUACAGUUUUGCCCUUUCCAUGCUCUAUUCAUGAGAUGAUAGCCACUAACUACAGCCCGCACUCAAAGGGAGGGAGAUUAAGCUCCACCUCCAGGAGAGAGGGGCACCAAGGCUUUAUGAUUUGUUAAAACCAACACAAUGAUUGAUACGCGUCAGAGGGGAUUCGCUAAGACCGUGCGAAUAUCCUGCUUCUCUUUGAUUUUUACCCCCUAAUUUAAGCAUUGGUCAGUGCCUCUUGCCUCUAGCACUGUCAUUUUAAACAAAAGUUGACUUUCAUGGGAUACAUAGAUACAUUUAAUAUUAGCUCAGUAAAGAAACAAAUGUUUAGUGCUUACAAAAUAUCUG